rnacentral:misc_RNA from 1 species
GUGGGCGAGCGGUCGCGGGUGCUGGCCUAUGACGCAUUCCUCGAAGCCAACAGGGCCAACUGGCUGGGCAACGAGAUCCGUCAUUACUGGAAACGCGUGCUCAAGCGCAUCGANNNNNNNNNNNUGACGCUGGUGGAGCCCGGCUCCUGCUUCGUCGGCACGCUGGCGGAACUCGUGUUCGCAUCCGACCGCUCCUACAUGCUGAUCGGCGAGAAGCAGGGCGACAACCGCGCGCCGGCGGAGAUCAUUCUCUCGCCCGCGAACUUC